rnacentral:rRNA from 1 species
AGUGAACGCUGGCGGUAGGCCUAACACAUGCAAGUCGAACGGCAGCACAGUAAGAGCUUGCUCUUACGGGUGGCGAGUGGCGGACGGGUGAGGAAUACAUCGGAAUCUACUUUUUCGUGGGGGAUAACGUAGGGAAACUUACGCUAAUACCGCAUACGACCUACGGGUGAAAGCAGGGGAUCUUCGGACCUUGCGCGAUUGAAUGAGCCGAUGUCGGAUUAGCUAGUUGGCGGGGUAAAGGCCCACCAAGGCGACGAUCCGUAGCUGGUCUGAGAGGAUGAUCAGCCACACUGGAAAUGAGACAAGGUCCAGACUCCUAAGGGAGGCAGCAGUGGGGAAUAUUGGACAAUGGGCGCAAGCCUGAACCAGCCAUACCGCGUGGGUGAAGAAGGCCUUCGGGUUGGAAAGCCCUUUUGUUGGGAAAGAAAAGCAGCAGGUUAAUACCCCGCUGUUCUGAAGGUACCCAAAGAAUAAGCACAGGCUAAAUUCGUG